AUACGUAGGGGGCGAGCGUUGUCCGGAAUUACUGGGCGUAAAGCGCACGUAGGCGGCUAUAUAAGUCAGAUGUGAAACACCUGGGCUUAACCGAGGGUAUGCAUCUGAAACUAUAUAGCUUGAGUCAAGGAGAGGAGAGCGGAAUUCCUGGUGUAGCGGUGAAAUGCGUAGAGAUCAGGAAGAAUACCAGUGGCGAAAGCGGCUCUCUGGACUUGAACUGACGCUGAGGUGCGAAAGCGUGGGGAGCAAACAGGAGUAGAUACCCUGGUAGUCCACGCCGGAAACGAUGGAUACCAGGUGUGGGUGAGGAAUCAUCCGUGCCGGAGUUAACGCAAUAAGUAUCCCGCCUGGGGAGUACGGCCGCAAGGUUGAA
rnacentral:rRNA from 1 species